UUUCCGUAGGUGAACCUGCGGAAGGAUCAUUAUCGAGUUUUGACUGGGUUGUAGCUGGCCUUCCGGGGCAUGUGCACGCCCUGCUCAUCCACUCUACACCUGUGCACUUACUGUGGGUAUCAGAUCGUGAAGCGUGCUUUUUUACCGGAGCUUGUGAAGCGUGUCUGUGCCUGCGUUUAUCACAAACACUAUGAAGUAUCAGAAUGUGUAUUACGAUGUAACGCAUCUAUAUACAACUUUCAGCAACGGAUCUCUUGGCUCUC
rnacentral:misc_RNA from 1 species